GCGCCAGGCCCGAUGCCUAGUGCUAGUGCUUCACUCCCUCCCGUGGAGGGAGGAUGAGACUCUAAGACGGAAGCCACUUGCCCGAGGUCACGUGGCAUGGAAGUGACGCAGUGGGAAGGGGGGGUUCUACCUUCACAGCCCUUCUUAUCCUUCCUUCUGUGCAAAUAAACAGAGUGUACACAGCAGGCGCUUAAUAAAGACUGAAAGGGAAAGAAACCAGUGCUGCUGAGAGAGCUGGAUCCUCCUUGAGAGCAGCAGCUCGAUGCGCUGUUGGGAGUCAGCGAGGAGCCCGCCCCACAGCCGGUGCCUGAAAUGCCAGCCAGAGGGCUGUGCCUCCACUCCACUGACCCUGGGCACCUACCUGUCCCUCCUGACCCACCAGACCCAUCUCCUCUCUCGGGGACAAGAACAGGAGGAAAGGAGGCAGGCUGUCUUAUUCCCCGAGGCCACCGGCCCCUGACUCUCAAAGCAGGACCCUCAGCUCUCCUUCCGGGACGAGUCCUGCCCAAAUGGCUCCCUGCGCUGGAACGAUACUAACAGACCUCACUAAAUCCACAUUACCACCCCGGAGGUCGGGCCACACGGACAGCUAAAUCCAUCUCCACCGCCAUCACUAAAAGAGCUAAGACUGAGGCCGCAAGAGGUGAAGUAACUGGCUGGGGGUCAUACAGCUACUGAGCAGCCAAACCAGGACUCAAACCCAGGAUCCUGCCCUGCAGCCAGUGCUCUGAACCGUGGGCUCUACCACCUCCCAAACAGCCCCAGCCAGCCUGGAACGGGGAUGACCUUGACCUCCCCAAACCCGGACGACCAUACCCCACGGGUAGCUUCCUCUGCACCCCUCCCCCGCCUUUUUUUGUCUUUUUAGGGUGCACCCCCAUGGCAUAUGGAGGUUCCCAGGCUAGGGGUCGAAUCAGAGCUGUAGCUGCCAGCCUACACCACAGCCACAGCAAUGCUGGGAUCCGAGCUGCAUCUGCGACCUACACCCCAGCUCACAGCAAUGUCGGAUCCUUAAUCCACUGAGCAGGGCCAGGGAUCAAACCUGAAUCCUCAUGGAUACCAGUCGGGUUCAUUACUGCUAAGCCACAGUGGGAACUCCCGAGUCAUUCUUCACAGAGCAUUUUUCUGCUCAAUUUAAAUUCCUUACAUUUAGGAUAACAACCUGGUACCGACCGCACUUUGUUCCAGGGUCCAUAACUGAGCAGUCAAUUGGAAGGGACACAGGUUUGCGGCUGCCCAACACGGGCAGACCUUGGAGGUUAAGAGGCUGGAGGCACUGACUGGCCCAGGUCACUGAGAAGCCUCAAAUCCUGAGUAAGUAUAAGCAAAAGCUCAGACGAGGACCCCCUAAAACCACCAAGCAGAAGAGGAUCAGAGAGGUUCAUGCCGUGGUCACACAGCCAGUAAACAGCAGAGCAGGGGUCUGGUGGGGAAAAUGGCUCAGAGAAGGGAAGCCUCCUGCCCAGAGGCACAUGGCAAGCUGGCAGGACUGGGACCGGAACCCACAGCCUAUAAUUCAGGCCACUGCUUUGUUCCU
rnacentral:lncRNA from 1 species